UCCAUCUGCCCCCAUUUUGAGCUCCACAUCCACCUUUGGUUCACUCACUGCGUUCUGCAGCCUUAAAGCCAAGUUUGGGGAAGGAAGAAGACUGAACUUGAACUGGGAACCCCAAGAAAGGAUACAGUCCCCCUCAGCAGCAACCAUGAGGAAGUUACCCUUUGCCCAGUUGGAGAGUGAAUCUCACCACACAGCCAAGACUGGUUUCUAACUCAUAACCCUCCAGCCUCAACUCCCCACAUGCUGGGAUUGCAAGCCUGUGCCACACACCUAUGUCAGUCGUCCCCAGAUACAUCCUCAGGUUGUUUCCAGUUCUCAUAAAUGGUGCUUUGAACAAGGCCUCUGUGGUCAGAUCAUUUUACCAUACGGACUUCCAGAAGUGAGUCUGCAGGCACUGGACUUUCUGAAGAGGACUUCUGUCGUUUUUUAAUGGUUGGAAGCUCCAUAGCCACUCUUUAUUUCACCUCCACAGAGCAGAUACAAGAUCGCAGAACUACAUGGACAGACGGAGCCAGUGGAAAGACUCGGUGCCCAUUCAGCCUUAAAAGGCUGGACAGGACACGCUCUGUGAAGAGAGAUACCCCGAGAGUCCUGGAAAGGACAGAGCCUGUGGCCACAUCUGACUUUGUGUCCACUUGAGGAGAACCCUCCACCACUCCAGCUGUCUCCUUCAGCCAUCGAGUGUUCUUUGUGGCUGAUUUCUUACUAGGCUGGAUUCAGGAAAUUACCCCAGAGACAAUUAUGCACUCCUGCCACUUGUUUUGCAAUUCAUAUAUCAUAAUCUGAUUUUAAACAAACAAAGGAAACAGGGUCUGGCUAUGCAGCCCCACCAUGCUGGGCAUAUUAUAUCUGGUGUUAACAGGGCGAGCAUUGUGAAUGAUCAGUUUAAGAGUGCCUCAUGACUCUGGAGUCGGUGCAUACCGUCACAUUAGCUCAUGAUUUCCCAAGAACAUCCAAAGAAACCUCCCAGGCCUGUUAAUAGAGCAGGAGACUGCAUCUAUUAAGGCCUAUCUUGGGAAGGAGCCAGAGCUCCCUAAGCAAACAAGCCCUGCUUCCUCUUCAUUUGCAGCUGACCGUUCCCUUGCCUUUCCCAUCUAUUUCUCCAGACCCUGGAAUAGGUUACCUCCUCCUCAGCGUAUGGUUGCUCAGCAGAAAACAGUGAGUUAUUAACCAGGCUCGCGGCCCUCAAACUCUGGACCAGAAGUUCUCGACCUUUCUCUGAUCCAUGGCUUCAUUUGGCAGCUUUUGGAAACCCGUAGACCUCUUCUCGGAAUAACAUUUUGAAAUACUUGUCAUAAAUAUGUGGUAUCACAGAUGAACCAAUAUCCAAAUAGAGUUAUUAAAAUAUUAAAAAUGAA